GUGCCUUAAACUAAUGAGUAAGGAAAAUACAGAGCCCUGGUGACGCUUGGCUCAGCUAACAAACAUUAGUAUAACCAAUUUUUGAAGGAGUUAAGGUCGUCCCUGUGGAGCCUCGCCUACUUUAGCGAGGCACCGAGGUGAAGCGAUCUGCUCC